rnacentral:rRNA from 1 species
GACGAACCGAGCGAACGUUGUUCGGAAUCACUGGGCUUAAAGGGCGCGUAGGCGGGCCAUCAAGUCAGGGGUGAAAGCCCCCGGCUCAACCGGGGAAGUGCCUCUGAUACUGGUGGUCUCGAGGGAGAUAGGGGCGUGCGGAACUUCCGGUGGAGCGGUGAAAUGCGUAGAUAUCGGAAGGAACACCGGUGGCGAAAGCGGCGCGCUGGAUCUCUUCUGACGCUGAGGCGCGAAAGCCAGGGGAGCGAACAGG